AGCGAAUGAAGAGGGAAAAGCUCAAAUUUUAAAUCUGCCUGGUUUCCAGGUCGAGUUGUAAUUUGAAGAAGUGAUUUUUGUGUUGAGGUCUGGUUUAAGUUCUUUGGAACAAGACAUCAUGGAGGGUGAGAAUCCCGUAAAUGAUCAGACCAAGAUACUUUAUAUUCGCUUUCUAAGAGUCGAGUUGUUUGGGAAUGCAGCUCAAAAUGGGUGGUAGACUUCACCUAAGGCUAAAUAUCAGCGAGAGACCGAUAGCGAACAAGUACUGUGAAGGAAAGAUGAAAAGAACUUUGAAAAGAGAGUUAAAUAGUACGUGAAAUUGUUGAAAGGGAAACGAUUGAAGUCAGUCAUGCCAGUGAAAAUUCAAUUUUGAUGGGUUUUUCGUUCACUAGUUGAGAUAGGGUCAAACCAUUUCUCUUUUGGACUUGAAAUUUGUCCGAUGUAUUUUUUCUUUGGCAGGUCAGCGUCGGUUUCGGAGGUUGUAAAAUACUUGGGGGAAAAGUAGCUCUGCUUCGGGAGAGUGUUAUAGACCUUGGGAGAUGCAGCCUGCGGGAUCGAGGAUUGCAGCAAAUGCCUUUGGCUUGUCGCCUGAUUCUCUGGAUGUUACCUCACUUCCGACAAUAUUCUUGUCGCUGAUGAGUAAUAAUGCCUACUGGGUUAGAGCGAUCAAAAUUUUUGCUAAGGAUGUU
rnacentral:rRNA from 1 species